UUGAGUAUUGUCAGAGAGAGC
rnacentral:miRNA from 1 species